GCCGGCGUAGCUCAGUGGUAGAGCGGCUGUUUUGUAAACAGCGGGUCGCGGGUUCGAGUCCUGUCGCCGGCUCCA
rnacentral:tRNA from 1 species